UGGGGAAGUUUUGGAUCAAUGGGGGCGAACCCGUACGAUCCAGCAAUGCCGCGUGAGUGAAGAAGGCCUUCGGGUUGUAAAGCUCUUUUGUCAGGGAAGAAACGGUGGUGGCGAAUAACUACUACUAAUGACGGUACCUGAAGAAUAAGCACCGGCUAACUACGUGCCAGCAGCCGCGGUAAUACGUAGGGUGCAAGCGUUAAUCGGAAUUACUGGGCGUAAAGCGUGCGCAGGCGGUUGUGUAAGUCAGAUGUGAAAUCCCGGCU
rnacentral:rRNA from 1 species